GUGUCAGCAGCCGCGGUAACACGGGGGGAGCAAGCGUUGUCCGGAUUUACUGGGCGUGAAGCGCGCGUAGGCGGUCCAUUAAGUCGGCUGUGAAAGCGCUGGGCUCAACUCAGCAAGGUCAGUCGAUACUGGUGGACUCGAGUCCGGGAGAGGGAAGCGGAAUUGCUGGUGUAGCGGUGGAAUGCGUAGAUAUCAGCAAGAACACCGGUGGCGAAGGCGGCUUCCUGGACCGGCACUGACGCUGAGGCGCGAAAGCUAGGGGAGCGAACCGGAUUAGAUACCCGGGUAGUCCUAGCUGUAAACGAUGGUCACUAGGUGUUGGGGGUUUCGACCCCCCCAGUGCCGCAGCUAACGCAUUAAGUGACCCGCCUGGGGAGUACGGCCGCAAGGCUGAAACUCAAAUGAAUUGACGGGG
rnacentral:rRNA from 1 species